rnacentral:rRNA from 1 species
GGUACCUACGGGGGGCAGCAGUGGGGAAUAUUGCACAAUGGGGGGAACCCUGAUGCAGCGACGCCGCGUGAGUGAAGAAGUAUUUCGGUACGUAAAGCUCUAUCAGCAGGGAAGAAAAAAGGACGGUACCUGAGUAAGAAGCCCCGGCUAACUACGUGCCAGCAGCCGCGGUAAUACGUAGGGGGCAAGCGUUAUCCGGAUUUACUGGGUGUAAAGGUAGCGUAGACGGCUGUGCAAGUCUGAAGUGAAAUUCCG